rnacentral:rRNA from 1 species
UCAAGCUAGGAAGGGCGUACGGUGGAUGCCUAGGCGCUAAGAGGCGAGGAAGGGCGUGGCAAGCUGCGAAAAGCCCCGGGGAGCCGCAAGCAGGCAGAGAUCCGGGGAUACCCGAAUGGGGCAACCCACCUGGAGUAAUAUCCAGGUACCCUUAGCUGAACACAUAGGCUAAGGGGGCGAACCGGGGGAACUGAAACAUCUUAGUACCCCGAGGAAAAGAAAGCAAACGCGAUUCCCCCAGUAGCGGCGAGCGAAAAGGGAAGAGCCCAAACCUUAUGCAUGGAGAAGGCUGCAACCGUUGUGCAUAAGGGGUAGCGGGGCUUCCAGGAGUAGUUGCAGAUACUCCACGAGAGCGAAGGCUGUAGGAGAACAGGACUGGAAAGUCCGGCCGGAGAGGGUAAAAGCCCCGUAUCCGAAACGGCCAAAAGCUUUCGGGAAGGACCCCAAGUACCACGGGACACGAGGAAUCCCGUGGGAAUCCGGGAGGACCACCUUCCAAGGCUAAAUACUCCUUAGCGACCGAUAGUGCACGAGUACCGUGAGGGAAAGGUGAAAAGCACCCCGGGAGGGGAGUGAAAAAGAACCUGAAACCGUAUGCCCACAAACAGUCAGAGGGCGUUAAAGCCUGAUGGCGUACUUUUUGUAGAACGGGCCGGCGAGUUACGUUAACGAGCGAGGUUAAGGGGAAGACCCGGAGCCGAAGCGAAAGCGAGUCUGAAGAGGGCGCGAAGUUCGUUAACGUAGACCCGAAACCGGGUGAUCUACCCAUGGGCAGGGUGAAGCGAGAUUAAACUUUCGUGGAGGCCCGAACCGACCGGCGUUGAAAAGUCGGCGGAUGACCUGUGGGUAGGGGUGAAAUGCCAAUCGAACCCGGAGAUAGCUGGUUCUCCCCGAAAUAGCUUUAGGGCUAGCCUCAAAGGAAACUAACGGAGGUAGAGCACUGAUAAGGCUAGGGGCCUUACCCGGUUACCGAACCUUUUCAAACUCCGAAUGCCGUUAGUUGCUCUUUGGGAGUCAGACUACGGGUGCAAAGAUUCGUAGUCGAGAGGGAAACAGCCCAGACCAACAGCUAAGGUCCCAAAAGACGGGCUAAGUGGGAAAGGAUGUAGAGCUGCUUAAACAACCAGGAUGUUGGCUUAGAAGCAGCCAUCAUUUAAAGAGUGCGUAAUAGCUCACUGGUCGAGUGGCUCUGCGCCGAAAAUUUAGCGGGGCUCAAGCCCGUUACCGAAGCUUUGGAUCCCGCGAGGGAUGGUAGGGGAGCGUUCUGUAAGCGUCGAAGCUGUACCGAAAGGAGCAGUGGAGCUUACAGAAGUGAGAAUGCCGGCAUAAGUAAGCGAGAAGGCAGGUGAGAAUCCUGCCCGCCGAAAACCUAAGGGUUCCUGGGGAAGGCUCGUCCACCCAGGGUAAGUCGGGACCUAAGCCGAGGCGGAGAGCGUAGGCGAUGGGCAAUCGGUUGAAAUUCCGAUACCACCUGAAGGCCGUUAACAGGAUGGGGUGACGCAGGAGGGUAGACACAGCGCACCGUUGGUAGUGUGCGUCCAAGCCGGUAGGGAGUGAGGCAGGCAAAUCCGCCUCACGAAAAGCCUGAGAGGUGACGGGGAGCGAAAUUAAAGUAGCGAACUGGUCGAACCCAAACUGCCGAGAAAAGCCUCUAACGAGGACUUCAGGUGCCCGUACCGCAAACCGACACAGGUAGGUGGGGAGAGGAUCCCGAGGCGCGCGAGCGAACCUCCGUUAAGGAACUCGGCAAAAUGACCCCGUAACUUCGGGAGAAGGGGUACCCCGUUAGGGUGAUAGUUUAAACGAACUAGAGCCCGAGGGGGUCGCAGAGAAGUGGCCCAGGCGACUGUUUACCAAAAACACAGGUGCCUGCUAAAGCGAAAGCUGAAGUAUAGGUGCUGACGCCUGCCCGGUGCUGGAAGGUUAAGGGGAAGGGUUAUCCAGCACUCAACUCUGCGUAUUGAAGC